UCUCUUCAGCAACCACUGCAUGAGGCCCUGUUGAGCAGCUUCUGUGCACAUUUCUGGUCGGAACUCAGCCAUAUUUUCUACAAUAGCUGAAGGAAGAGAAGAAACCAUUAACAUGCAAAAGUAAUUCUGCUUUUACUAGUCUUCAAAAUGACACUCCAGCAGCCUCCAAUGAGACAAGAACACAGACAGAUGACCUUUUUUAUUUGUCCAAAAAGGGAAAACAAAUGUAAUAUACAUCUCCUGGCUAUGAGAAGAAAUAUUUGUAUCUCUUUGCUUCCAGAAACGGCUUUAGAUUUCAUCUGGAAUCAAUGAACUUAUGGGUACCUUACAUUGUUGCUAAGUGUUGGAGAAGUCUUCACAGAAUUAGAAUGUUGAAAGACGCCUCCAAGACCAUCUAUUUCAACCUAUACCUGAGUUAAGAACUGCCUCUACAAAUUCCUGACAAGCACUCAUCCAGCAUUUCCCUGAAAGACUUACAAUAUUGGGGAACCCACCAUCUACCACAGAAGCAAAUUUCACUUCUGGAUAACUAAUUUUUUUUUGCAAGUUUUUCCUUAUAGUCAAACUCUGCCUCUUUACAGCUUCCAUCCAUUAGUUGUCUUCAGGCACAAAGCAGAACAAGUCUAAUCUCUUUCACCCAUGGUAGCCCUGCAAAUAUCUAAAGAUGGCUAUUUAAUUUUGCUUUCGUGUAACCAAGAUAAAACACUAAAGGAACCCUGAGAAUGCCAAUACUGCACUCUUCCCCCCAACAGGGCUUUUCUAUAGCUUAUAAUUUCCAACUGGGGAAAAGAUAGAGGCAAUAACUACAAACUGCAUCUCACAAUAAAUUCUACCAGAUGCCCUCUAGCUGCUAUUCAUGCCAUUUCAUGACUUUGAUAUUGGCCCCCAAAUUAAACCUACAAAGAAAUCAAUGUCUUUUCAAUAUUAAGAAUUCUUAUAAAAGUUUCCUAAUAAAGAAUAAAAACGGGGAUACAAAAAUAUAUUUAAAUCUACCUUUCCCUAACUCCCUAGUAUUUACCAAGUGUUUUCCACUGGUACAGACAAGCAAAUAAUCUAUCCUAAUUCUGAAAUUUUCAACUGCUUGUGAUACAUAUAAAUCCCACUGGAAUAAAGAGAUUAGUGCCAAAAUCUUAAAAAUAAUAAUAAUAAAAAUUAAAAAUUAAAAGCUCCUAAGCAGGAGCUACCUAAUGACUCCCCAGGCUGUAGAUGAACUGUGUUCUUUCUAAGUGAACAAUAAAAUCUGCAGAAUCCAGCUUUUGUUAGUGGUUUUGGCAACAUGGAAAACAGAAAAGGAGCUUUUAUUCAAAUGGCUGUUUCCAGGUCCAUUUUUACAAGCAGCAGGCGGGCUACCUGCUCCUUUCUCCUCAAUCCUUUUCAUGCAACAACCGUCUAGGCAAAGGAUGGUAAUUAAAAACAGCAUAGGGACUACACAGGAAGAUGCAUUCAGGGCCACCGCAAUUAACCUUUGGAAGGUAAGCCUGUGUGGAUGACACCACAGGGAUUUGAUGGAAAAGCAAGUGCAGCUGCCUUCCCCCAACACCCCUCCAAACAAAAGCCCAUCUGAUUUCUUUUCUCUCAACACAAUCAUUCCAAAGCCCAAUAAAAAAAAAAAAACAACCCUGUGUUCUACAAACGUGGCCAGUCACUCCAGGAAGCGGCUAGAAAGAAAAAUGGCCACAGGAAUUUUCAUCAUACUCAAUUGUUAUUGGCUCUGCUGGACACCUCUUUCUAUGUAAGAUACAGUUCUUCAUAUCCACUCAGUUCAUGACCCUUCUACUCAUUCCAAAUACCAGGAACCAGAGUGCAUGGGAAAAGUCUAAUACAAAGAGCAGAAGAGAAACGGAUUAAGUCAGUGAAGCUGAUACUGUAUCUGCUCACUAAGAUAAGGACCUCAACCAAAUCACUAUUAAUUGGAAGUUUCUAGAAAAAGACUAACCAGGAAAACCUACAGAAGAGAAAAAAACAUCAUGCCAGGAGUCAAGGGACCUGAAUCCUGAUAUCUUUACCACUAACCAGCUGUGUGACCCUACUCAAAUUACUUAACCUCUGACUUUCAGCUUCUCCAUCUGCAAAACAAUCAUAUAUUAAGAGCCAGAAGGAACCUUAGAGUUCAGCAGGUCCAAUUCCCUCAUUUUUCAGAUAAGGCUUAGGGAGGCUGAGGGCCUUGCCCUAGGUCAUCCAAUGGAAUUAUGAGAAUGGGAACUGAAGUCCUUUGACUUUAAAUCCCUUACCUUACAUGGUGCCAUGAGAAGAAUGAUGUUAGAAUUACAAGGGAAUUUAGUGAUAAUUUAGUCCAAUAUCUUCCUUUUACAAUGAGGGAAAGUAAAUUCUAGAGGCCUUGACUUGUCUAAGAUUGAAUGAGAAAACACAUAAGUCCCUGCAUGGCAAAGUGCUAGCAAUCUCAAUAAUUUGUAUUUGCAUUCUCUUGAUAUUUAGUAAAGCAGAGGUGUCAAACACAUAACCUACUUCUCAGUA